UGUAGGAGUGAGCCUGCUCGCGAUAGCGGUGUGUCAGGCAACGGCUUUGUUGACUGACACACCGCUAUCGCGAGCAGGCUCACUCCUACA
rnacentral:misc_RNA from 1 species